rnacentral:misc_RNA from 1 species
GUGAAUCAUCGAAUUUUUGAACGCAAAUUGCACUCUCCUCGGAGAGUAUGCCUGUUUGAGGGUCAGCCUAUCAAAAAUCGACAUCGUUGCUGUUUCGCGGUGGCGUUCGUCGGAAAUUGGGUCAUCUUAAAUCUUUUGGUUUUAAGCGACUUAAAAUUUUUUUUUUGUUUCCUUAAAUGUUUUUAAGUUUUAUUUCUUUACACGUUUAAGGUAU